rnacentral:rRNA from 2 species
CAUACGCGUGCCUAUACAUGCAGUCGAACGAGUUCUUGUUGAUGAUCGGUGCUUGCACCGAGAUUCAACAUGGAACGAGUGGCGGACGGGUGAGUAACACGUGGGUAACCUGCCCUUAAGUGGGGGAUAACAUUUGGAAACAGAUGCUAAUACCGCAUAGAUCCAAGAACCGCAUGGUUCUUGGCUGAAAGAUGGCGUAAGCUAUCGCUUUUGGAUGGACCCGCGGCGUAUUAGCUAGUUGGUGAGGUAAUGGCUCACCAAGGCGAUGAUACGUAGCCGAACUGAGAGGUUGAUCGGCCACAUUGGGACUGAGACACGGCCCAAACUCCUACGGGAGGCAGCAGUAGGGAAUCUUCCACAAUGGACGCAAGUCUGAUGGAGCAACGCCGCGUGAGUGAAGAAGGCUUUCGGGUCGUAAAACUCUGUUGUUGGAGAAGAAUGGUCGGCAGAGUAACUGUUGUCGGCGUGACGGUAUCCAACCAGAAAGCCACGGCUAACUACGUGCCAGCAGCCGCGGUAAUACGUAGGUGGCAAGCGUUAUCCGGAUUUAUUGGGCGUAAAGCGAGCGCAGGCGGUUUUUUAAGUCUGAUGUGAAAGCCCUCGGCUUAACCGAGGAAGCGCAUCGGAAACUGGGAAACUUGAGUGCAGAAGAGGACAGUGGAACUCCAUGUGUAGCGGUGAAAUGCGUAGAUAUAUGGAAGAACACCAGUGGCGAAGGCGGCUGUCUGGUCUGUAACUGACGCUGAGGCUCGAAAGCAUGGGUAGCGAACAGGAUUAGAUACCCUGGUAGUCCAUGCCGUAAACGAUGAAUGCUAGGUGUUGGAGGGUUUCCGCCCUUCAGUGCCGCAGCUAACGCAUUAAGCAUUCCGCCUGGGGAGUACGACCGCAAGGUUGAAACUCAAAGGAAUUGACGGGGGCCCGCACAAGCGGUGGAGCAUGUGGUUUAAUUCGAAGCAACGCGAAGAACCUUACCAGGUCUUGACAUCUUUUGAUCACCUGAGAGAUCAGGUUUCCCCUUCGGGGGCAAAAUGACAGGUGGUGCAUGGUUGUCGUCAGCUCGUGUCGUGAGAUGUUGGGUUAAGUCCCGCAACGAGCGCAACCCUUAUGACUAGUUGCCAGCAUUUAGUUGGGCACUCUAGUAAGACUGCCGGUGACAAACCGGAGGAAGGUGGGGAUGACGUCAAAUCAUCAUGCCCCUUAUGACCUGGGCUACACACGUGCUACAAUGGAUGGUACAACGAGUUGCGAGACCGCGAGGUCAAGCUAAUCUCUUAAAGCCAUUCUCAGUUCGGACUGUAGGCUGCAACUCGCCUACACGAAGUCGGAAUCGCUAGUAAUCGCGGAUCAGCACGCCGCGGUGAAUACGUUCCCGGGCCUUGUACACACCGCCCGUCACACCAUGAGAGUUUGUAACACCCGAAGCCGGUGGCGUAACCCUUUUAGGGAGCGAGCCGUCUAAGGUGAACAA